GUAGGUGGCAAGCGUUGUCCGGGAUUAUUGGGCGUAAAGCGCGCGCAGGCGGUUCUUUAAGUCUGGUGUGAAAGCCCACGGCUCAACCGUGGAGGGUCAUUGGAAACUGGAGAACUUGAGUACAGAAGAGGAAAGCGGAAUUCCACGUGUAGCGGUGAAAUGCGUAGAGAUGUGGAGGAACACCAGUGGCGAAGGCGGCUUUCUGGUCUGUAACUGACGCUGAGGCGCGAAAGCGUGGGGAGCAAACAGGGAUUAGAUACCCUGGUAGUCCACGCCGUAAACGAUGAGUGCUAAGUGUUAGGGGGUUUCCCGCCCCUUAGUGCUGCAGCUAACGCAUUAAGCACUCCGCCUGGGGAGUACGGCCGCAAGGCUG
rnacentral:rRNA from 1 species